rnacentral:rRNA from 1 species
CAGCAGCCGCGGUAAUACGUAGGGAGCGAGCGUUGUCCGGAUUUAUUGGGCGUAAAGAGCUCGUAGGCGGCUUGGUAAGUCGGAUGUGAAACCUCCAGGCUCAACCUGGAGACGCCAUCCGAUACUGCCAUAGCUAGAGUCCGGUAGGGGCCCACGGAACUCCUGGUGUAGCGGUGAAAUGCGCAGAUAUCAGGAAGAACACCGGUGGCGAAGGCGGUGGGCUGGGCCAGCACUGACGCUAAGGAGCGAAAGCGUGGGGAGCGAACAGGAUUAGAUACCCCAGUAGUCCCUGUCUCUUAUA